GUGGGGAAUCUUCCGCAAUGGACGAAAGUCUGACGGAGCGACGCCGCGUGAGUGAUGAAGGCCUUCGGGUCGUAAAGCUCUGUCAUCGGGGACGAACGGCCUCAGCAGGUAAUGGCUGGGGAUUGACGGUACCCGAGAAGGAAGCCACGGCUAACUACGUGCCAGCAGCCGCGGUAAUACGUAGGUGGCAAGCGUUGUCCGGAAUUAUUGGGCGUAAAGCGCGCGCAGGUGGGAUCUUAAGUCCAUUUUGAAAGUUCGGAGCUCAACUCCGUGAUGGGAUGGAAACUGGGAUUCUUGAGUACCGGAGAGGAAAGCGGAAUUCCCCGUGUAGCGGUGAAAUGCGUAGAUAUGGGGAGGAACACCAGUGGCGAAGGCGGCUUUCUGGACGGUGUCUGACACUGAGGCGCGAAAGCCAGGGGAGCGAACGGGAUUAGAAACCCCGGUAGUCC
rnacentral:rRNA from 1 species